CUCAUGCCAGCCUCCCUGUCCAAGGGCCUGGUCCCUGUGAGUGCACCUGGGGGCAGGCAAUGGGGGACUCAUUUGCAUGGUCAGUCCCUCCCCUGUGAGCCCAGUGACACUGCGAUAAGAGCGGCCUGGGGCAGCCCAACCCUGGGUCUGUGGCCUCAGAGGUAGCCGUGUCCACCAUGGCCCUGACUCCUCUCCUCCUCCUGCUCCUCUCUCACUGCACAGGUUCCCUCUCCCAGCCUGUGCUGACUCAGCCACCCUCCCUGUCUGCAUCCCCGGGAGCAUCGGCCAGACUCCCCUGCACCCUGAGCAGUGACCUCAGUGUUGGUAGUAAAAACAUGUACUGGUACCAGCAGAAGCCAGGGAGCGCUCCCAGGUUAUUCCUGUACUACUACUCCGACUCAGACAAGCAGCUGGGACCUGGGGUCCCCAAUCGAGUCUCUGGCUCCAAGGAGACCUCAAGUAACACAGCGUUUUUGCUCAUCUCUGGGCUCCAGCCUGAGGACGAGGCCGAUUAUUACUGUCAGGUGUAUGACAGUAGUGCUAAUCACAGUGAGAGAGACAGAUGAGGAAGUGGGACAAAAACCAAGGUUUUAAGCUUCUCACGUUUACUGAACUGGUUAAGAACUUCGGUGGUUAAUAAAAUCACAUUAAUACUGGA